rfam:Triticum aestivum genome assembly, contig: Triticum_aestivum_CS42_TGACv1_scaffold_227112_3B
UACGUACUCCCUUCGUCCGGAAAUACUUGUCAUCAAAAUGAAUAAAAGAGGAUAUACCUAGAUGUAUUUUAAUUGUAGGUACAUAUUUUUUUAUUCAUUUUGAUGACAAGUAUUCUCAGACGAAGGGAGUACGUG